GAAUGGAAUGAUGAUUAUUUGUUUUCCUAUUGGUUUGAUUGCCUGAAUGAUGGCAUUUUUUUGUAUUAGCUCUAUCUGACCAUUC
rnacentral:snoRNA from 2 species